UGGUGGGGCGACUUGUCUGGUUAAUUCCGCUAACGAACGAGAACCCGGCUUCUUAAUAGGACGAUGAUGCUCGAUAACUCGUUCCGGAGCUCCGGCUUCGGCGAGUCCCUCUAGGGCGAAAGCGGUUUGGAAACCGGGGAAGCUAGGCGGAUGCUUCGGCGGAAGUCUAUCGGAACCGGCGGAAGGAUCGUCGUAACCCUUGAACGGCAAUUUUACGCGCUUCUUAGAAGGACCGUGCAUGCUACCCUAAUGCACGGAAGAGUGGGUCGAUAGCA
rnacentral:rRNA from 1 species